rnacentral:lncRNA from 1 species
CUUCCAAACGAGGAAGAAGCCCCUAACAAGUGGGCCCCACCAGUCAGCGGGUGCGGGCGCGGCGCGGGCGAGCGGCUGGGCUGGCAGGGCUGCGGCGCGUGCGAGGGAUUGGGCCGGUUCGGCCUAAAGUGGCCGGGCCGAUCCGGUUUCCUCCCUUUUUUUUUCUUUUACCCUUUUCUUUUUCUGCUUUUCUCAUUUCUUUGAUAACUUUUGAUUUUGAACUCCAAAUUUGUCCAAAUAAAAUCCAGAAAAUUUGUAAAAUCAUGUUCUACCAUGAUACAACUUUUGGAAGUAGUUUCCCCUCAAAAUAAAAUAUAUAAAAAUACAUUUGCCCUAUAAAUGCCUUUAGGGCUAUAUAUCUAUUUAAAUAAAAUACUUUUUCAACUCCAAAUAAUUAUCCAAAAAUUAUGGGAUAGCUUAUAUAUGCAUUAAACCCCUUUUAUACA